CUUGGCUUGUUUAUUUUUCUAUUCUGACUUAUUUAUCCCUUGACAUUUGGCUUGCCUACCGUUUAUGUACACUCUGUUUCCCUUACCUCAGCCUGUCCUCUAUUAUUAGACAAGCAGACAAAGGAACAGGUAGAGUCAAAAAUAAGCAAUACAUGUAUAAAACAAAAUAGGAUUUUAACUAAUGAAAAUAGGUUACCAGAACACAAAAUUAAUAUUAUUAGAGAAGGUAUCAAGAUAAUUUUAAACAACAACCUUUUCUGGUUUUUAGAUUCGUUCUAUCUUCAAAAACAAGGUACAGCAAUGGGCAUUAGGUUCACCCCAAGUUACCCCAAUUUAUUUUUGGAUGAUUAGGAAUCCGAAGCUAUUUGUGGUGAUCAU